GAGAGUCAAGGGACAAGAAUGACUCUCAUAGCUCCAUACUGGCCGGCCCGAGAUUGGUUCACAGAGGUACUGGAAUGGACAAUAGAUGUACCAAGGACACUUCCAGCAAGAGUAGAUCUACUCAAACAGCCUCACUUCAACAGGUACCACAAGAACACCCUCGCUCUGGGUCUGACUGCGUUCAGACUAUCGAAAGACUUGUCAGAGCGAGGGGGUUUUCUAGAGAGGCGGCCAGAGCGGUGGCCGGAGCUAGAAGAGCCUCUACUAUUAAGUUGUACCAGGCGAAGUGGGAAUCUUUCGCAAGUGGUGCAAGAGUCAGAAGAUUUCUUCAUCCAGUACCUCUGUGACCCAAAUUGCCGACUUCCUUUUAUACUUAAAGAAGGAAAUAAAAUUGUCAACUCAGACGAUUAAAGGGUAUCGGAGUAUGUUGGCUUCUGUAUUUAGACAUAGAGGUCUAGAUAUUACAAAUAAUCUAGAUCUGAGAGACCUCAUAAGGUCUUUUGCAACAAGGAAGGAGCCCCAAUACAGAGCUCCGUCCUGGAAUCUCGAUGUGGUCCUGAAAUUUUUAGGAAAUAGUAAGUUUGAACCGAUGGAUCAAGCUUCGUUGAGAGAUAUCACAAAAAAAGACCAUCUUUUUGGUGGCAUUGGCCACAGCUAAAAGGGUGAGUGAGCUACAAGCAAUUAGCAAACAUAUUGGUUGGAAACAUGACAAAGCGGUUUGCUCUUUUCAGGAGGGGUUCUUGGCCAAGAACGAGAAUCCAGCUCAUCCAUGGCCAAGGUCGUUUGAAAUUAUGGGUCUUUCAGAUCUAGUAGGACAGGAACAAGAGAUAGUUCUUUGUCCAGUAAGGGCAUUGCGCUAUUAUUUGGAUAAAACCAGUAAGAUUAGAGGAACUUCAGAAUCACUGUGGUGCUCUGUGAAGGACCCUAGCAGAGCAAUGACCAAAAAUGCUAUUGCCUUUUUCCUUAGGGAAUUAAUUAAAGAGUCUCAUAUGUUAUGCCAAGAAGAAAAUUUCGGCAUCCUUAAGGUUAAGGCACACGAAGUGAGAGCAGUAGCUACUUCGUUGGCUUUUAAAAAGAAUAUGGCCCUCAAAGAUUUAAUUGAAACGACGUUUUGGAGGACUAAUUCAGUGUUUGCAAGUCAUUACCUUAGAAACGUCAAAACAACGUUUGACAAUUGUCAAACGUUGGGUCCAUAUGUAUCCUCAGGAACAGUAUUGGGCAAAGGAGUUUCCACCCCAUAACUUACUAACAUGCUAGGUAUUUUAAUGAAGUGGUGUUGUUUUUACGGUUGUCUGAGAGGUUGAUUUCCUCUUCAGUCUGUGAAGUGUAGUGUGUUAGGUUAGUGUUGUGUGUGGUUCAGGUGGUCUAACUUAUCCUAGCAUGAAUGCCCGUGGUGAGAGAGGGCUAGGGUUUCCUGUCAACAAAUUGGUCCCGUCCAGUUGUCAGACCCUUGUAUUUAGCUUCAUCAACUAAUAGGUCACGUCCUAGUUGGAAGCUACUAAGGCUUAGCAGGCUAAGAGGCAGGAAUGCUGAAGUCAGCUACCUUAGCAGGUAAGGAAUCUAAGAGUAUUUUAAAUUUUAAAUUUUUAAAACUCUUACAAUGUUGCUGUCUUUGACCCACCUCCAAAUGUGUCAAUCAGCUAUAUAUAUACCUGCCAGGUAAGUGUCAUACAUGAAAAUGAUGUUAUUAUGAUAUAACAAAGUUUCAUGUAUACUUACCUGGCAGGUAUAUAUAAUUAAAUUCCCACCCACCUCCCCUCAGGAGACAGGGUUCAGAGACAAAAAUCUGACGAAAAUGGGAAUGAUUCCGAGCACCAGCGCCACGGGAGCGGGGUGGCGAUCACCUGAACUACCAGUGAUCUAGCGGUUGCCGCGAGUUUUGAAAAUUCUGCCAGUGCGAACAGAGAAUAUAGCUAUAUAUAUACCUGCCAGGUAAGUAUACAUGAAACUUUGUUAUAUCAUAAUAACAUCAUUUUUAACUAAACAGAGGAUGGAACUGUAAUUUUUAUCGCAUAUCUAGAAGAGGGUCUCCUUCCUUUCUAUAAAUCACUACUUAUCAAGAAAUAAGGAUUGAAUACAUAUGUAGCAGGACUGUAUGUGUCGCUACAGGUCUAAGGUAGCGAUCGGCCUGAGGGGGGUUGCCUACUGGAAUGGGUUUGGCAGUGAGGAGUAAUUAUAUAAUUAAUUGCAACUCUCGAAUUGUUAGCUAUCUUGUUUACCUUAAAGUUGUAUUAUUUGGGAAGAAUUAAAUUGAUGUGUCCUUAUGUCUUUAUUCUUGAUAGGGAAACUUAUAAUAGCUCCACCUUAUCCUUGGGCACUUGGACCGAGACAAACUAUUUUGAAGGCACUUUGUUUUCUUUGCAAGUCUAUUAGGCGCUAGGGGAUUUUUACUGAGUUCAAUAUUGUCACUUAACACUGUCUAUAUUUGCACUCCACACGUGGCACUUCUUCCCCCUUCUGGAUCUGCUUGCCUGCUUCUUUGCUUUCUGUUUCUCCUUUUCCACUGCCUUCUCUCUCUCUGUCUAGCCUUUUUAUUCAGAUGUCAUCUUCUUAGCAUUGCCUUUGGAUUUUGGAUUUUGACUCUGGGUGUGGCAUUUUCCGAAAGGAUUCUGGUGUCUGAGUGGCUGCUGCUUUUUCUUCGAAAUGCCUUCCUGUCAUCCUUUCUGUAGUAAUUGGUAGGCUUCUCAUUUGGAGACGCCUCUCUUUCGUGCCCCAGCUUCUUGAGGGUGUGUACCUUGGGUAUCCUAGUAGGGUAUUCAUUGGGACCUAUUUUGGGACGUCCUUACAAUCUGGCACUGCUGAUUUGAUUGGUUAAAACCGAAAGGGUGGAGCUUUCAAGUUUUAACGCGUCCCCUUUUUUUUUUAAACAAGGGAGCAUAGAAUUCCUUUUCUAACAUUUGCCAGAUGGGCUGUUGGACUUAAUCCUCGGCACUCUGACCUGUCACAGAAUGGAGCGCCAAUUAAUCCUGAGAAGAGGGGUUGGUGUAGACGUAAAUGAGGUGUGACCAAGUUUUUGGGGUUCCAAUUUCUUGAGGGUGGCUGGGCAGUGUCGCUUGUCACCUUUGUGUGAGAAAGGAUAUGCUUACACUUCUUUGUGGUUGAGGGUAACCGUCGUUUCAUCCCCUUCUAUUUGUUUUGUAUGCCCUUUUCUUAAGUUUUUAUAAGUUAACGGCUUUGAAAUGAUUUCCCUUAAUUCUGUAACAACACUGUAACAUACAUUUAUUGAUAAGGUAUAGAUGAUUUUGAUAUGGGCCAGCUUUCACAUUUUGGCUACAUUGCUUACCAGUGCAGGUGAGUAAAUUUUUGGAUUGUAAACUCUUCUUUAAUAGCAUUGUUGCCAUGUCAUUCACCAUGACAGAUGCAAAAAUAGAUUCUUAACAAAUAAUGUACAAGCCUUCCUACCAGACAUGAGGGUCGCACCCUGACAGCUGUACAGAAAUAUAGAUUCAAGGAAUAAAAUUGAAACUUAUUAAUCAGAAACACAAAUGUAAGUAUGGGGCAGCUGAUGAUGACUAGUUUAAAGCUGUUUCUUGCACGUUAAUGCUGACUUCUGGGUUCAAUUGAACAAGUGAAGAAUUAAUUUUACUUCAGUUCACAUAUGUAUAUCUACCAAUAUGAAUACAUUUUGCUUAUCUUGCAUGCACUGUCUUAGAUAUUACUGUGAUAGGAUGUUGCUUAAAGCUUUUGUUGUUUUGCAGUAAAAAUAAAUUGGCAGAAAAAGCUUCUUGAUAAGCUGUAUUGAUAGUUUAACCAAAUGAUCUGAACAUCAGAAAAUAUAGUUUUGUAAUUGAAGUUUUCUAUACUUAGCAGGAUGAAAGUGAGCAGUGUUUGCUAGUCAACGGAUGUUUAGCGAAAGUGAUUGGCCUGUCACUUGGUGUGUUGGGUUUGAUAUUAAUCAUUGCUGGUUGGAGCUUCUGGAUCUAUAAAGAAAAAGUUGCUCAAGCUGGGGAAAGCAAUUAUCUGCCACUUGGACGACAAGCUGAAAGAAACUCCUCUAGUGAAGCAUUUACCAUGGAUGAUGUUCCAUAAUGGAGGAAGACUACAAUAAAGUAGAUACAACACCAUAAUCCUAGAGGCUUAUUCCAAAAGAUACUUUUUAGAGCUCAGGAUUUGACUUGUGAUAUUGUAUUGUGUAGUAGUAACUUUUGUGUGAUAAGAAUGCAGAAAAUGCAUAAUCAGUUUAUGGUUUUAGUGCACUUUUAGAGGCUAUGUGCAUCACAAAACCUACAAUUGUAAAAGGAAUGACAUUUAUUCUCACAAACAAGACUUGUAGUGCAUAGGCCCUUGUUUUGAUAAUUUGGGACCAAUGCCUUUCUCUCUUGUGGAUAGAAAGGCUAUCAUAAGAAGUACAAACAGUUGUCUAAUUAGAGCCGUUCACUUUUGUGCAGAGAGAUGUCUCAUGUUAGGCAAUGAUUUGAAUCUAGACUAUUUUUAACUUUUAAAACUUCAGUACUUUAUUACAACAGACAAAUGUGUAUAUGUAGCCUAUGCAUUGCAUAUCAUUUUUAUUAAUGUGUUAAUUAUUAGAUUAGUUAUUCUAUAGUGAAUAAAACUUUGAUACAGUUAUUGCAAACAAGUAAGAAUUUAUGACUUACAUUCCAUAAAAGAAGGAAAAUUCACAAAUUUAAUUGAUAUUAAAGAAGUGGGUUUUUACAUAAGUAGUAUUUAAGUCAUUUGUUGUAUUGGUAGAAUGAGUCAUAAUGUUCACUCAUUUUCAUAAUCUAAAUUAGUAUCUCUUUCAUUCAAUACAGGAGUGAAAAGAAAAUACUGUACAGUAACUGUGGUAAUGCAGCAUCAGGUUGAUACCGUAGGAUGCUUUCACACAUUUAUAUUUUGUUAAUACAGUAUACAAGAUGAGUGAAGCUGUG